GGGGAGCAGGGGAGCACACGUCGUUUACACCGAGAGGGUCGGCGGUUCGAGCCCGUCACCGCCCACCA
rnacentral:tRNA from 1 species